CUCAGCUUAGCUCAGUUGGAAGAGCAUCAGACUGUAAAGGAGACCUUGCGGAAUCUGGGUGUCGCCUGUUCGAUCCAGGCAGUUGAGA